AAAAUUACAACAAAAGUUCACAGGCCACUGGACCGAGAUUUUUCCUUCUUAUUAUUAUCAAUAUGCACCGUUGAAAAGUUAUCCGUUUGGUUGAAUAUUUAUACAAUGAGGGUCCAAUACACAUAUGCAACCGAGAAAAAACCAACAACCGUAUGUAAUUGAGAACAAUGACGAUUUCUGUUCCACCUGGGUUUGCGUGGAGAUUCGGGGCGUAAGCCUUUUUCAGGUCACAAAUGAGUUUCGUCGCCGGGAUCCGAGGCGUGGUUGGAAACUUGGGUUACUUUGUGCAUUACAUUAUGAGAUUACAUGUGUAAAUGUUUGUUAAGAGCAAUUGUGUGAAGAGUACCUGAAUCCAGUAAUAUAUCUUGAAUCUGAUCGAACAUAUUUAAAAAAAAUAAUGAUAAAAACAUAUAUAUAUGUAUAUAGGACAAACUUGGGAAUGAGACGAAAAGUCGCGAACAACUAGCGAAUGGUCUCCGUUAUACGAUAUACUCGUGUAUGGGGAUUAUUUCUAAUGGUGAAUCAAUGACAGAAAUAUUCAGUUAUUGGAUUAGAAAGAACUUUGGAAUAUGUGACGAUAAAAUCAGAAUUUUGGAGCUAUUUUGAAUCGAAGCCUCCUGUGUACAUGCAGAGAUCUCGUGCGGCAUUGUCUAGAGGAUUACAAGACUAGGAAGAAAUUGAGAUAGUCUACGCAAGUUCUUAAUUUGACAUCAAGGAGAUGGAAUUUUGCAAAAUCUACGCCAAAAAAAAAAAUUUUUUUGGAAGAGGAAUGUGCAGCUUCAGCUCGCACUUUUUCGCACGCUUUGGUAGUACCAGCCAGUGCUACGCUAGUUACAAAAUGCGUCCGUCAGUCCGUCCGUCAGGAGGGUCCUGCUGGUGUAUAAUGGUGUAUGAUGGCUGAUCUAGAGUAUAAAUAGAAAUGUUCACUGUAUAACGAUUUGAGGAAAAAGAAUUUGGAAAAGUAUUAUUAUUCUAGACCAAAUGUUUUUAAAUCAAUUUGAUUAUUAACUACUAGUAAUGUCAGCGAUUUGUUGAAAUUGGGAAAAAAAUUGAGUGCUGCUAUACUACAUGUAUAUUAAGAAAAUGUCACAUUGAUGUUUAAUUAUAUACCAGUUUACUUUG